GGCCACAAUUCCUGGUAGUUUGCUCUCCAUUUCCGGUCCCAGCAGAGAUGAGGCGGGGAGUUCCGGUUGAACACGUCACCUGUUGCCAAGCCUCUCCCAGCUCGGCGAAGGACUGUAACCCUCAAACCGUGAGCUAAAGCUCAGGCAGCAGCUGGAGAAACUAGGAGUGGAGACCCUUGUUCCAGUUCCAAGUCUGUCACUGCGACAAACACCCUGACAAAUGGGACUCAGGGGAGAAAGACGUUAUUUGACUUGGAAUGCCAGGUCACAGUCCCUGAUUGUGGGGAAGGCAAAUAAGGAACUGACUCAAAGCUUGUCAAGAGGAGAGAGAGGAAACGCAAGAGUCCUUGCCUGCCUGCCGGCUCAUCUGCUGUCAGCUAGCAAGUGUCUUCUUAUCUAGUUCGGGAACCUUCACAUAAGUAGGGGUACUGUUCACGACGGACCGAGUCCUCCUGCAUCAAUUAAAAGUUGAGACCGUCCCCCAAAGUCAAGCCCGCAGGCCAACCUGAUCUACAAGGAUCUUCAGUAAGGCUCGUUCCCAAGUGAUUCUGGGUUGAAUCAAAUUGGCGGUUAAAGCUAACUGCACGGCCCUGUUAGAGGCUGAUCUGAUCACUGAAAUGGGAGGGAUGGGACAAGAGAUGGCUCCAAAGGCAUUUGUUUACUCUCUGCCUUUCUCUGCGAUGCAUUAAAUUGUUCACACUCCCAGAAGGCCUGGUGUUGGGAGGUUGCUACAUCUGAUAGAUACGUAGCUAGGUGUCUGUGCUCAGGGUAUUCACAGGGAGUUUUCAUAGAUUCUAAGUGAGGCAGCACAUUUAGGGGCGAAGUUCUGUCUGAGCUCGUGUCCAUUGAGUCUUUCCUUAAUUCCAGCUGAAACUACAAAACAAGGUGAGCGUGCCCAGAAGGGUUUGUGUCCCUCAUCUUGGCCUUACAAAUAUGUUCUCCGUGACCUUGAGAUAGGCAUGUCACUGAAUGUGUCUGUCAUCCUUCCUACUUAAAAAAAAAUGCCCCCAUGCUGAGCAGUUCUUUAACUGAGCAUGCACAGCCAUCCUUCCCCCAGAACACUUCCUAGGUGAACAGUUUUCCUGAAUAGAGCCCCCAGCUUGUCUUUGUUUUGAAGAACAAACACUAUUGGAGCUCACACCUGUGCCUGUGCAACUUUCUCUACCUGCAUUUCUUCCCAGUGUGUCUGUCCUUGUACGUGUGUGUGUGUGUGUGUGUGUGUGUGUGUGUGUUCCCCCCACCACCACUAUCAAUCAACAUUAGCACAGUCACCACCUACAGGGGAAGAUUUUAGUUCUUUUGAGCAACACUUGAGAGUUCACGAGUUUUCACAAGAGGCCUAAGAUCAUAUCCAAACUGAAAUUUUUGUGUCUGCGGAAAACGAAUGUUCAAGGAAACUGUAAUUAUUGUUACUAGUAUUUUAAUGAAUACUCAGUCUAUUAUACUUGGAGUCAACAACUUCAAAAAUUUUAGGGCUGGAGAGAUGGCUCAGCGGUUAAGAACACUGACUGCUCUUCCAGAGGUCCUGAGUUCAGAUCCCAGCAACCACAUGGUAGCUCACAAACAUUUGUAAUGGGAUCUGAUGCCCUCUUCUGGUGUGUCUGAAGAUAGCAACAGUGUACUUAUAUAUAAUAAAUAAAUCUUAAAAAAUAAAAUAAAUACUUUAAAAAAAAUUUAGCAUACAGUUUACCAUUAAAUGACAGUCAAUUUUAUACUCCAGUAAAAAGGACACUAGAAAAGACACCCACCUUAACACCAGCCAUUGUAAAGGAUAAGUUUAACACAUCUGAUUUCCUGAAAACCUUCAAGUGCCUGCUGUAAGUCAGAAAACAACAGGGAUAUUUAGGACCGCCUUCCUGUGUACUAUAGACUUUUAGAAGGUGGAUCUUAGAUACUCCCAAGGAUGCUGUGGACAGAGCAUUUGAGGAGUCUCUGGGAGCACAUCUGUGACCAGCAUCAUUGCCACUUUGGGACAGACACAUCUGACCAACGGACUCCAUCCAGUACAGCAAGUGUCUGGUACAAAUGAUUUAUAAUUCUGAAAGUAUUAAAAAGGCAGGCUUCCAGCUAAGACAGCAGGCUACAGCCAACACCAUUGGAGGAGAAUCAGAAGACAGCAGAAGUGGAAUCUUGUAAAGAGAAAGACGGAGAGCAUCGGAACCCCUGUCCACAAAGGGAUGGAGAAGGCUCCUGAGAAGUGAAGAGGGAGACUGACAAGGGCACCCAGAGGAGGUGCGGGGAACACCUUCUGCCCCACAGCUCGGUGGUAUGAAUGUGCUGGAGGCAGAAGCCUCUUCCCCAGGGAAAGCCACGUGGGAGAAAAGCAAUGGAGCACAAGGACAGCCCAGACCCCUUGUGAGCUUCAGUGAGCCACUGCUUCAUGGGCACAGGAGUCAGCAGUGGAGAGAAAUCCAGAUCCGGCAAUCUGUCUGACUUAGGCACCAUCUUGAGAGAACCAGAUGUUAAAACAGGAGCAACCCCAGGGCCCAAGAGCAGGGAGAAUGGGUUGGUGUCCCAGAAGCUUUUCCUGAUGCUCUAACACCUGACUAAAGGCAAUUUAAAACAAAA